UGGGGAAUAUUGCACAAUGGGGGAAACCCUGAUGCAGCGACGCCGCGUGAACGAAGAAGGUAUUCGUAUCGUAAAGUUCUGUCCUAUGGGAAGAUAAUGACAGUACCAUAGAAGAAAGCUCCGGCUAAAUACGUGCCAGCAGCCGCGGUAAUACGUAUGGAGCGAGCGUUGUCCGGAAUUAUUGGGCGAAAAGGGUACGCAGGCGGUUUAAUAAGUCGAAUGUUAAAGAUCGGGGCUCAACCCCGCAAAGCAUUGGAAACUGAGAAACUUGAGUAGUGGAGAGGAAAGUGGAAUUCCUAGUGUAGUGGUGAAAUACGUAGAGAUUAGGAGGAAUACCAGUAGCGAAGGCGACUUUCUGGACACAAACUGACGCUGAGGUACGAAAGCGUGGGGAGCAAACAGG
rnacentral:rRNA from 1 species